GAUCAAGCAUAACUGGGCAGAUCUUUGGACAAACUAUAACAGCGGGUUGACAGCAAAUCCAUCUAAGCAUGGUUCCUAGCAGAUUUGAGGUCCUGUCUCUUUACAUGAUCUUGUGUCUUAGGACAAAGUAUAAAGGGGGAUGGUUCUUAGUUGCGUCAAAGUGUGGUCAGUAGUCUUAUUAUUAAAAAAAAAUUUCAGUUGACUCGAUGUCCUAUAGCUCAUAUAUCUAUACGUUCUUGGUGGAAUUUUGACAUAGGCAGACUUUGAUGACUUCUAUGGCUGGUCUGUUUACUCCUCUUCCCUCCAAGGGAAUUGACUUUUACUUUGCUUAAAAAAAAAAAAAAAAAAAGAAAUUUUGCUUAUGCUAUCAUUUUUGGGAAAAAGUUCUAAGAAAGGAAAAAGUGAUUCACGAACUUAGUGUGGGAUAAGAAGAAAGUUGGUACUUGUAUCACUCAUUUUUCAUAUAAAUUUUAGUUUGUUGGAGUAAUACAAAUGAGAUUAUUGAAAGAAGUCUGUUUAGUUUUGUUGCCUUCUCCACCCUUUUGGAUUCAGAUUCCAGAUAUAUGCUGAGCCAAAAUUUCUGUCAGGAGGCUGUGACUAUAGUUGCGCGAGCUGAUCAUCACAACUGGUAUCCAAUGAUGCAAUUAAACUUUCUUUUCACUCCACACUUGAUUUCUUUUUUCUGUUUUGGUAUGAGGACCUUGGUUGCUUUUUUCCCCAUUUAUUAUUGAGCUGAAUGUCAUAGCAUUCUCUCUUGUCAGCCCUGUGGCUGCUUCCCCAUCGGUUGUUGAAGGAUAAGAUUCUAUUUCUCAUUCCCCCAACAAUCUUCCUCCUGUUAAAUGGCUUGCAUUACUUGGGUCUUCCCAACUUACAUAUUUUUGUUGGUCUGUUUCCCGUUAUUGAAUGGUGUAGAGUCUCUGCAAGGUAUACUUUGGUCUUCUGUCAGCCAUAUUCUAAAGUUAUGGUACUGCAUCUAAAUAAUCCAAUAUAUUCACUAGUUACCUAGUUCUCUUAUUGAAAAUCCUAUUGUUGUGCACAUAACAAGAUUUUAUGGAUGCUCUCUCAUUCUUUUAUUGAGAAAAGGAAUCAAAUCACUAGUUCAUGUACUUUGGUUUAUAGAUUAGAAAUUAGGUAUAGUUGUUAGUCUCCACUUGGCAUUUUGACUAUGCUACAACCAAUGGAUAUUGUGCUUUUUUUCCUUCCAAAAAACCUUACCCAGAAACCUUGAAAACAUCUUAAUGAAAUCUUGUACAUUUGUGUAUGUAAGUGCUAUAUCCAUUCUUCUUGUUAUUAUCUGUUUUAAACACUGUAUAUCAACUUCCACUAGUGUACAAAUUUAUGCGUUUGUUAUGUCUCUCUAACUCUAUGUUCUACCUUUUUCCUUAGAGGUCAGGAAAGAGGAUCUUUGUGCUUCAACUAUGGGAAGAGGGAAGGAUCUCUUGACUUCGUUUAGUUUUGUGCAGCUUGGAUAUAUUUAAAAUAAAUGAGGAGGAAGCGUUUAUUGCAUAGAUCUAUUUCCUAUUCACCUUUUCCAUAAGAGUAUUGUCUGAUUCUACUUGUGCUAGGUGUUGGCUGGAUGAUGUUAUAAGCAUCCGCACCUCAACACUUUGGUCAGAUAUUCUUUUUACAUCUCUUUUUAUCCAAUUUACAUAUUUCUUUUGUUUUGUGAGUUAAAUCUUUUGCGAUAGUGUGGUAGACCAUCAUAUUAAUAUUACUACAAGCCCUUUGUUUAGGCAACUUCACUUUUAUGCCUUACAUUCCAAUUCUUUCUACUGCUUUUUGUUAGAACUUUUAAUAUUGCUUUCUUCAUACAUUUUCAUUAUCAAGCAGUCAUAUUCCUUGUGUCACAAAACUGAUUAGAGAACCCGCAGAAAGUAGAAAGAGAGAAAGAAGGAAGAGAGAAGAAAAAGAGAGGAGGAGAAAGAGAAUGUAAAAGAAAGAAAGAGAGGGCUAUAGUUUUCUGUAAUCACAGAAACCCUACACCCAUUGUAUUUAUAUUGAAUAUAAAUUGUAUAUAACAAUAAUAUCCUUAUGUAAGUAAAAAAGGAAAUAAAACUCUGAUAAUAAAGGAAACUUAAUAAAGUAACUUAACACCUUGUUCCUUGAGGUUCUUGUCCAUAUGGAUUUUCAUGAAGAGCAUGCCUUUUGACUAGGCAAAGAGCAGUAUCUAUGGAAGUACGGUCACCUAAGGUGCAGUGCCCCAUUUCUCAUGACUGUUGAAUACAGAUGUCAACUGCAUAAUCUUUUCCCAGAAUAGGAUACUAGUGUCUUUGAGAAACGUUUUAAUCAGAAUGUAUGUCUCUUGGUAUCCGCCUGCUGUCCAAAUAACAAUGCCAAUGACUGUGAUAUGGUGGACUUUUCUUGAUCAAACCAAUCCUGCUUUCGCUUGCUCCAUCUUGGCUAAGUAAAUGUUUUUCACCACAUCCUCUAGUUUGUCUAUUUUGAUAAUUAUUGCUGCCUCAAUGGUGUGAUCUCAAUGGUGUAAUCAAUAAAUGCGCUAUGUCUGUAGCAUAAAUGAAUCAACAGUCAUGUCUCAUCUGGAUGGCCUUUACCUUUGAAAGUCAAUGUGGAUCUCUAUUUAAUCAAUGGAUGAUUACUUUACUGGAUGAAUUUAGAGAAGUGAAUUGUGUACUUUUUUCCAGUUUACUUUUUGGUAUUUGCUUAUUUUCAAUUAUGGAUAGCACUGUGAUUCUUCGCUAGGAACAUUGAUCUGGCAAUUGGACAUAUUUUGCCUCUCCUUGCUUCUGUGUUUUGUCCUCGUGUUGUUCUUUACCAUUUUCCAAUUGGGAAAUUUGUGUCACCUAUACUGAAAAUAUCAGGGGUGACCUCAGCUGUUUGGCAAAGUCCCUUUGUCAUGUUGAUCAACUACAAGGUGAUGAUAGUUUGCAGCUAUCAAAUGCUGGGAUUGCACUUGCUAUAAACAUGCAUGAAUUGUACACUUUGCUGUAUCAAUUGGAUGAUGUUUGAAUAUCGUUUAAAUAGAAUUUUAUGGUGGUUUGUUACUUCCCUCAGUUUUUUACAGUCUGUGGAACAAAUACUUUACGCGAGACAUGCUGCAGAAUUAAUACUGUAUUGUGUUAUUGUUAGUUCACAGGGUGGGAUAUUGUUGCAGGAUGACUUAUAUUGGAGGUUUCAGCAUAAAUUUGGAAUGCAGCGACAACCAUAGCAAUUGAAGCCUUAUUCAGAGCUUCAACUUAGUUAUGUAUGCUCUAUGAAUCCAUCUAAUAACAUGACUAUCAUUUUAUAUUAAGCUCUCUAGGAUCAAAUUCUUCAAAUUAUUUUUUCAUCGUCUCUUUCCUCAUCUUUUUGGGUCUUCCUUUGGACACACACUUCAUAAAGAAGCUUGUGCUCCAGUGGAAUUGGUUCAAAUUUUUGCCAAUCUCUCAUUGGGCAGCAUCUUUGAAUUUUUUUACCAAGAGAAUAGUACCUGUAUAAAUUAUAUUUUUUUUCUUGCUAGAUACUUGCAAUGCUAUAGUUGUAUUGUCCUGACAUCAGUAAAACUGAUGCUAACGUGAUGUAGUAUCCAAAUUUGUUGCAGGAAGCCAAUGAUUGUAAUAUUUGUUGGACUUUACUUGAUCGAAUGCUGUCUAUGCUUGCUCCUGUGUUUAAAUCAAGAUAUUUCUAUGCUUGCUCCGUCUGUGUUUAAAUCAGGAUAUUUAAUCUUUUAUGUUAUCCACUAGUUGUCCUAUAUUUAUAUAUUAUUCAUUGUUGCAAUCUUGUUUCCUUAGAAUGAGCUGUUCAAUAAAUGUGCUCCAUUGGUGGCACAUACUUGAAGCAACAGUCCUGGUCUUAUCAGAACUGCUGUCUUAAUUUGAAAGUCUAUGUGGAUCUACUCGGUCAAUGGAUGGCUACUUUAUUGGAUAAAUUUGCAGAAAAAUGAACUAACUUAUUUUUCAUGUUUAGUAUUUAAUAUUCUCUUCUUAUAAAUCCAAUUUGCACUUUUCUGAUCUUUUUAAUUGUUAGAGAUUCUUCACCAAGAACAUUGAACUGGCAGCUGGAUGCAUUACACUCCUACUAGAAGUGAUUCCCUGGGUUGUUAAGGUCUUAAGCACUCAAAAUGGUCACUCCCUUGUCUAUGCAGAAUUAUUUCUGGGUUGUGAUUCGGUAGAAUCAUGUUUAGAUUCGCUUGACUUGGAAGUAUUUUUGAUGUUAUGCUUUUAAUUAGUUGACGGCAUGAUUAUCAGAAAUGCCAUUAGAUAUGGAAGUAAGCACUUAUGUCCAGUUUCUGGUACUAUUGACAACUUGUAGUGAUGCUGAGCACUUCUGUGUUUGCGCUAUAGUAACCUAGUUCUUGUUUAAAAAAAUGAAUGUUCUCGAUUAAAUUUGCUACCUACCUACCUCGAGUCAUAUGUAUGAAAGCUAUCUCUAAUUCUGAUUUUUAAGUAUUUUUUCGUUUUACUCAUUUUCCUUCUUGUUGAUGCUUACCUUGCAAGGCUACAUGGUUUGCACUGUCAUUAAUCAAAAGAGGCAACAAAAAUUGAGAACUAAUUGGGAUGCCAGUCAACUUAUAGAUCUUUGUACCAAUGAAGAGGUCCUGGUGUAUCUUCUUAGCCUUUAAGUGACCUGAAUCUGUUGUUGAGAAUUUGUCUGCCUAUGGUUUUUCUUGACAGGUUGGCUAAGCAUGUAAUCUCAACUGACUGUGUACUGUUUUUGCGGCCAUUUGCUACUCUACUCUUGAGAUUUACUUUAGAUUUUGAAACAUCUGUAAUGAUUAUGAUGAUGGAGCUAUCUGAAGAAGUUUGAUGUCUGUAUUUGACUUCUUUCAGAAUCCCUCAUUCUAAUUUGAAGUCAAAACUAGACUUUCUCUCUGGAUGAUCAUCUCUUUCUUUGGACGACAAAGUGGGAGAUGAGGGUUUUGUUGCUGAUUCUGACUCUGUUUAUUUGAAGAAACUGGGACUUUCUAUUUGCACGUCCUUUAUCUCUGGGUUGUCUUGCUGAUUUCCAAUCUCUAGCCAGGUGCAUUGAUAUGUGUGUCACAGCUCCUUCAUUUCUUAAUCAUUGCUGACAAAUUUCAAGCAUUGUUGAUAAUAGAAUGCCAGGGAUUUUGCUCUUUCUUAUAUAUGGUGGCUUAACUUGGCCUUCGUAUAUUCAGCCAUUGACAGGUGCUUGCUCCAGUUUGGAGAAUUCUCUUCAGCUAAGUGUGUCACGUGAAGAUGGUAUAGGAUUCAGUGAUCAAAGAAUUCAAGCUUGUCAAGUGGGUGAAAGCAGGACACAAUAGCGUAUAGAUGAGUAGCCUAAUCAUCUUCUUUGUGGAUAGGAGCCAUCAGCUGAAAUUGGAUCCUUCUAAUAUGGAUUGUCUAUAGCUGCUUGAGAACCCAGAUAAAUCUGGUUCUAUCUUUAUUUCAAGGAUUAAAGGAAAUGCGUGGAAUGAGUAGUGUUCUCCUCUUGUAGGUUGGGGUCUUCUUGCUGCAAAUCAGGUAGCACACAAUGUUGGGAGUUUGACUUUAUGGACUACAGACCAGAUCAGAAUCCAUGUCUGCGCUUGCGAUGAGAAACCCUGGAUAGAUCUGGUUCUAUUUAUUUCCAAGGAUAAAGGAGAUACGCGGAAUGUGUAGUGUUCUCCUCUUGUAGGUUGGAGUCUUCUUGCUGCAAAUUAUGUUGCGUUUCUCAUCUUUGUCUGCAAAAUUCACUGGAUAAACUACAAUUGAAUUGUGUGUUGUGCUUUUGAAUUGUGCUUCCAACUGCAGUCGUUGCUUUCUUGGUCAUUAGGUGGGCCACAUUGUUGGUUGUUUAUGGACUAGAGACCAGGUCUGACUACGUUCAUUAUCUCUAUCAGAUGUUUCUGCCUUACACUUGCGAUAUGGGAUAUUGAUUGCAGUUAUUCACUAAUAUUAUGGCAGAUCAGAUUAUCCAUGUCUACAUUUGCGAUGAGCAACCCUAGAUAGAUCUGGUUCUAUAUUUAUUUUCAAGGAUUAAAGGAAAUGUGUGGAAUGUGUGGUUGGAGUCUUCUUGUUACAUUUCUCAUCUUUGUCUGCAAAAUUCACUGGAUAAACUACAAUUGAAUUGUGGGUGUAAAGCUAUGGAUGCUUUUGAAUGGUGCUUCCAACUGUAGUUGUUGCUUUCUUGGUCAUUAGGUUGCGUACACUGUUGGGAGUUUGACUUUGUGGACUAGAGACCUGUUCUGACUAUUUUUCUUAUCUCUAUCAGAUGGUUCUACCAUACACUUGUGAUAUGGGAUAUUGAUUGCAGUUAUUCACUAAUACCAUGGCAGAUCAGAUUAUUCAUGCCUACACUUGCGAUGAGAAACCCUGCAUAGAUCUCUUUCCACCUUUAAUUUCAAGGAUUAAAGGAGAUGCGUGGAAUGUAUAGUGUUCUCCUCUUUUAGGCUGGAGUCUUCUUGCUGCAAAUCAUGUUGCGUUUCUCAUCUUUGUCUGCAAAAUUCACUGGGUAAAGUACAAUUGAAUUGUGUGUCCAAAGCUAUGGGUGCUUUUGAAUUGUGCUUCCAACCUUACACUUGCGAUGUGGGAUGUUGAUUGCAGUUAUUCACUAGUACUAUGGCAGAUCAGGUUAUCCAUGUCUACAUUCAAUUUGUUUGGUUCACCCUGUAAUCACUAUAUCAGGGAGCUCUUUCUUCUGGAUGCUCUUAUUUUAAUCUUCUCCUUAUCUAAAUUUGCCUUGCGAAUGAUUUUCUAUUUCUUGUGUAUUGACAUUGUGAAUCACUUGGCCACAAGUUUCCUCAAUCCCUGCACAUGGAUUCUCCAAUUACUCUCCAAAACUCAUCAAGCAGUACCGAUUUCUCAUCAGGAAGCUAGCAAUGAUAAACCUUCGAACUAUAUCUGCAAGAAUAAUGAAUGUGGGAAUUUGGAUGGUUUGGAUGUUCUUGUCAUCUUUUUUACAUCUACUCUUUGAUUGAGAUGGUAUGCUGUUGUCUCUUUUGGCAGGUCAUAUGAUGUUGGAGCUAUGCAUAAGUUAGCUGGUGUAGAAUUUAAGGAUAAGCAGUUCUCAAGACCUCGCAUAGGAAUUCACACUUCCUGCACAGGAUGUGUGGAGCUGUUCCUGCUUAUUGUCUGUCAGUUUCUUAGUUUGUUGAGCAAAUUUUUGCGAUUUUGUCGCCUAUACUGAACAUAUCAGGGGUGACCUCAGCUGUUUGGCAAAGUCCCUUUGUCACGUUGAUCAUGUACAAGGUGAUGAUAGUUUGCAGCUGUCAAAUGCUGGGAUUGUACUUGCUGUAAACAUGCAUGGAUUGUACACUUUGCAGCAUCAGUUGGAUGAUUUUCGAAUAUCAUUCAAAUAAAUUUUAUGGUGGCUUGUUUCUUCCCUUGGUCUUUUACAUUUUUGUGGAACAAAUGCUUCAUGUAAGAUGUGCACAUGACGUGUUAUUUUCAGUUUGCAGGGUGGGAUAUUGUUGCAGGAUGACUUAUGUUGGAGGUUUCAGCAUAAAAUUGGCAUACAGUAACAACUAUAGCAAUUGAAGCCUUAUUCAGAGCUUCAACUAAGUAGCGUUUGCUGUAUGAAUCCAUCUAUAUGACAUGACUAUUAUUCUAUAUUAAGCUCUCUAGGAUCAAAUUCUUCAAAUAUUUUUUUAUGAUAUCCUAAUGUACCUGCUAGUUAGUCCUAUAUUUAUACAUUAUUCAUUGGUGCAAUCUUGUUUCCUGGAAUGUACGCUCAAUAAAUGUUCUCCAUUGAUGGCACAUACUUGAAGCAAUAGUCCUGGUCUUAUCAGGACUGUUGUCUUUCUUUGAAAGUUGAUGUGGAUCUACUCGGUCAAUGGAUGGCUUCCUUGCUGGAUGAAUCUGCAGAAACGUGAACUAAAUCAUUUGUCAUGUUUAGUGUUUAAUAUUCUCUUCUUAUAAAUCCAAUUUGUACUUUGGCGAUCUUUCUAUUACUAGAGAUUCUUCACUAAGACAUUGAACUGGCAGCUGGACAUAUUACACUCCUACUAGAAGGGAUUCCCUGAGUCGUUCAGGUCUUAAGCACCCACAAUGGUCACCCUUCUCCGUGCUUCAAGUUUUUGGUUUUUUUUGGUAAAUUUUUUCCAAU